AAGACCUCAAAGAACAGACACAGUGAUAAGAGAACUCCUAUAGAAUAGCUGUGCUAAUCAGCUGCCUGCAUAUCUUUUCAAGGGCUGGCUUCCCCCCAUACCCAGGAAGACGCCCGAUUCUACUACAACAUGCCAGUCCAGCUACAAUACAAUACUUAAAGGAUAUAAAACCCUGUAGACGCCAUCGAUAGUUCCUGCCAAUAUAGAUCACAGUCUUGUCUACAGCUGUUCUUAGAGUUAACAAUGAACUUGCAGAUCUUUUAAGUUAACUUUAUUUAGA